GUGAGGAAUAUUGCACAAUGGGCGAAAGCCUGAUGCAGCAACGCCGCGUGAGGGACGAAGGCCUUCGGGUCGUAAACCUCUUUUCUGGGGGAAGAGCAAGGACGGUACCUCAGGAAUAAGUCUCGGCUAACUACGUGCCAGCAGCCGCGGUAACACGUAGGAGGCGAGCGUUAUCCGGAUUUACUGGGCGUAAAGCGCGCGCAGGCGGCUUCGUUAGUCGGACGUGAAAGCUCCUGGCUUAACUGGGAGAGGCCGUUCGAUACUGCGAGGCUUGAGGUUGGGAGAGGGGUGUGGAAUUCCCGGUGUAGUGGUGGAAUGCGUAGAUAUCGGGAGGAACACCUGUGGCGAAAGCGGCACCCUGGCCCACACCUGACGCUGAGGUGCGAAAGCGUGGGGAGCAAACAGGAUUAGAUACCCGGGUAGUCC
rnacentral:rRNA from 1 species